CCUACGGGGGGCAGCAGUGGGGAAUAUUGCACAAUGGGGAAAACCCUGAUGCAGCGACGCCGCGUGAGUGAAGAAGUCCUUCGGGAUGUAAAGCUCUAUCAGCAGGAACGAGACAAGACGGUACCUGACUCAGAAGCCUCGGCUAACUACGCGCCAGCAGCCGCGGUUAUACGUAGGGGGCCAGCGUUAUCAGGAAUCACUGGGUGUAAAGGGAGCGUAGACGGCGGAGCAAGCCUGAAGUGAAAGGCGGGGGCCCAACCGCGGGACUGCUUUGGAAACUGUACGGCUGGAGUGCAGGAGGGGUAGGUGGAAUUCCUAGUGUAGCGGUGAAAUGCGUAGAUAUUAGGAGGAACACCAGUGGCGAAGGCAGCCUGCUGGACGACAACUGACGGUGAGGCGCGAAAGCGUGGGGAGCAAACAGGAUUAGAUACCCUUGUAGUC
rnacentral:rRNA from 1 species